CCGUGAAGCUGGAUUCGCUAGUAAUCGCGCAUCAGCCACGGCGCGGUGAAUACGUUCCCGGGCCUUGUACACACCGCCCGUCAAGCCAUGGAAGCCGGGGGUGCCUGAAGUGCGCUGCCGCAAGGAGCGCCCUAGGGUAAAACCGGUGACUGGGGCUAAGUCGUAACAAGGUAAC
rnacentral:rRNA from 1 species